rnacentral:rRNA from 1 species
GAUGAACGCUGGCGGCGUGCCUAAUACAUGCAAGUCGAGCGAACUGAUUAGAAGCUUGCUUCUAUGACGUUAGCGGCGGACGGGUGAGUAACACGUGGGCAACCUGCCUGUAAGACUGGGAUAACUUCGGGAAACCGAAGCUAAUACCGGAUAGGAUCUUCUCCUUCAUGGGAGAUGAUUGAAAGAUGGUUUCGGCUAUCACUUACAGAUGGGCCCGCGGUGCAUUAGCUAGUUGGUGAGGUAACGGCUCACCAAGGCAACCGAUGCAUAGCCGACCUGAGAGGGUGAUCGGCCACACUGGGACUGAGACACGGCCCAGACUCCUACGGGAGGCAGCAGUAGGGAAUCUUCCGCAAUGGACGAAAGUCUGACGGAGCAACGCCGCGUGAGUGAUGAAGGCUUUCGGGUCGUAAAACUCUGUUGUUAGGGAAGAACAAGUACGAGAGUAACUGCUCGUACCUUGACGGUACCUAACCAGAAAGCCACGGCUAACUACGUGCCAGCAGCCCGCGGUAAUACCCUAAGGUGGCAAGCCGUUAUCCGGGAAUUAUUGGGCGUAAAAGCCGCCCCCC